rnacentral:rRNA from 1 species
AGCAGUCGCCACGGGAAUACGUAGGUGGCAAGCGUUGUCCGGAAUUAUUGGGCGUAAAGCGCGCGCAGGUGGUUUAAUAAGUCUGAUGUGAAAGCCCACGGCUCAACCGUGGAGGGUCAUUGGAAACUGUUAAACUUGAGUGCAGGAGGGAAAAGUGGAAUUCCUAGUGUAGCGGUGAAAUGCGUAGAGAUUGGGAGGAACACCAGUGGCGAAGGCGGCUUUUUGGCCUGUAACUGACACUGAGGCUCGAAAGCGUGGGGAGCGAACAGGAUUAGAUACCCGUGUAGUCCCUGUCUCUUAUAC